GUGUCAGCAGCCGCGGUAAUACGUAGGCAGCAAGCGUUGUUCGGAGUUACUGGGCGUAAAGAGUGCGUAGGCGGUGCUCUAAGUUUGGUGUGAAAUCUCCCGGCUUAACCGGGAGGGUGCGCCGAAAACUGGAGUGCUUGAGUGCGGGAGAGGAGAGCGGAAUUCCUGGUGUAGCGGUGAAAUGCGUAGAUAUCAGGAGGAACACCUGCGGUGUAGACGGCUCUCUGGACCGCAACUGACGCUGAGGCACGAAAGCGUGGGGAGCAAACAGGAUUAGAAACCCCAGUAGUCC
rnacentral:rRNA from 1 species